AACGCAAAUUGCGCCCAAGGCUUCGGCCGAGGGCAUGUCUGCCUCAGCGUCGGUUUUACCCCUCGUUCUGCACCCUUGGGUGUGUGAACGGAUCUGGCCGUCUUGGUUCUGCCGACAUUGAUCGGUUUCCAGGUCGGCUGAAGCUGAGAGGCUUGAGCACGGUCCCGACUGAAGGGCGACCGCUUGGUAGGUGGACUGUCCACAACCCUGCCGUCGUCUGAGGGGCUUUGCUGUGGGCCAAUCGAGUUGGGGCCACGUCCCACAGCUCUCUCUUAACAUUCGACCUGAGCUCAGGCAAGACUACCCGCUGAACUUAA
rnacentral:misc_RNA from 1 species